GGCAGAGGGAGCCGAGUUCCCGCGGGGGCGUCGGCACUCGCCGGUGCCCGCGUGAGGAAAGUCCCCCCACCGUCCGGGCGGGCGACCGGACGCAAGUCCGGAGCGGGAGACCGCUGGCUCUGGAACAGAAACGAGACCGCUCUCCUCGACCGAUGAGGUGCGCGAACCCGAACCGAACGAAGGCACGCGCCGAGUAAAGGAACGGGGAGUUGACCCACCGAGGGACGUGCGGCGGACGAACCGCCGCGCGAGCGUGCUGGCGCUGCCAGUGCGCGGACGGGAGAGAACGGAUGGAACGGCGAAUCCUCGCCGGUGCAAGUCCGCGCGGAUUAGGUAGCCCGGACGACCGCGCGGACGCUCAGCCGAAUACUCGGAGGAACAGAAGGGGGCUUACUCCCCUCAGCC
rnacentral:RNase_P_RNA from 1 species